GUUUUCUUACAUCUCUCUCAAAGAACGUCUCUCUCAAUUCUCAGACUGAAACUCUCUCUUCUCUCUCACACAAGCCCACUAUAGUCUCUUUCAGUCUCACUCGAAUCUCGUCUCAGUCACACUCGCCGGCAUCUCCAUGUGUCGCGGCCUUCUCUGGAAACGUCAUUGUUCGUAGUCUUCUGGUUUCGAGACGUCGCCGUAGACCGUAGUCCGUAGACCGUAGUCCGUUGAUAUUUCUAGAAAUUCUUUGCACAAGAGGCGCACCAUUGGUAGAAAGAAGAAGGUUUGAGGUUGGGAGGAAGAAGAGAAAGUUAGAGAUUAGCAAAUGCAGCAAAUAUUGGAGCACUGGGAGACAGAGUAGCAAAAUUGAAACUUACUACUUCCUUUACGGUGGAAAGGGCAACCAUCACACAAGUAGCUCAUACAUUGGCAAUGAGAGUUCCAAAUGGCAUCCAUUUAAGCAACCCUGCCUUUCCUGGCGUUGGGGGCUAUCUACUCUAUCCAUUUAAACAAUCCUGCCCUUCCUAGCAUUCGGGGCUAUCUAUUCUACAGUUUUCAGAGUUAUUACCUCUUUCUAAACACAUAUUCAACUUGUUUAGAAGCCACUUGAACCCCUUGGCAGCUUAAAUUCCAACUAUGAUGAAAAAUCCAACAAGAAAUAAGCCUGGGAAACCUCAUUUGCAAAACAAACCCACUCAGUGAUGCUAAAUGCUAAUCAUUCUACAAUCUUAUAUCCAUCAUGUCAAAUGAGAGAAUGUCAUUUAAUUCUACUGAAGUUUGCAAAAUUGUUUAGAGAUAUUCACUCAUUUUUUUUCCUAAAUCUUUACCCUAUUUAAUGUGACAUCCUAGACAAAAGAAAGUUCUAUAUAUGUUUAUUGUUAUGUAAUCCUAAUUCAGAUGGCCAUAAUUUCACACGCUAGUACAAUUCAGCAACCACGAACUAAAUCUUAACAAAUGCUCUCAAAAAAUCCAAAAUUUCAACCAUACAAACACUACAACA